GACGAACGCUGGCGGCGUGCUUAACACAUGCAAGUCGAACGGAAAGGCCCUGCUUGCAGGGUACUCGAGUGGCGAACGGGUGAGUAACACGUGGGUGAUCUGCCCUGCACUUCGGGAUAAGCCUGGGAAACUGGGUCUAAUACCGGAUAGGAGCCAUUUUUAGUGUGAUGGUUGGAAAGUUUUUUCGGUGUAGGAUGAGCUCGCGGCCUAUCAGCUUGUUGGUGGGGUAAUGGCCUACCAAGGCGGCGACGGGUAGCCGGCCUGUGAGGGUGGACGGCCACAUUGGGACUCAGAGACGGCCCAGACGCCGACGGGAGGCAGCAGUGGGGAAUAUUGCACAAUGGGCGCAAGCCUGAUGCAGCGACGCCGCGUGGGGGAUGACGGCCUUCGGGUGGUAAACUCCUUUCGCUAGGGACGAAGCUUUUUGUGACGGUACCUAGAUAAGAAGCACCGGCUAACUACGUG
rnacentral:rRNA from 1 species